rnacentral:rRNA from 1 species
CGCGUAGGCGGUCUGUUAAGUCAGAUGUGAAAGCCCUGGGCUUAACCUGGGAACUGCAUUUGAUACUGGCGGGCUAGAGUAUGGUAGAGGGAAGUGGAAUUCCGGGUGUAGCGGUGAAAUGCGUAGAUAUCCGGAAGAACACCAGUGGCGAAGGCGGCUUUCUGGACCAAUACUGACGCUGAGGCGCGAAAGCGUGGGGAGCAAACA